GACGAACGCUGGCGGCGUGCCUAAUACAUGCAAGUAGGACGCAGUUGCGAACGGGUGAGUAACGCGUAGGUAACUACCUAUUAGAGGGGGAUAACUAUUGGAAACGAUAGCUAAUACCGCAUACUAGUAGAUGGACCUGCGUUGUAUUAGCUAGUAGGUAGGGUAAUGGCCUACCUAGGCAACGAUACAUAGACGACCUGGGAGGGUGAUCUGGCAAACUGGGAAUGAGACAAGGCCCAGAAUCCUAAGGGAGGCAGCAGUAGGGAAAUGUCGGAAAUGGGGGGAACCCUGAACGAGCAACGCCGCGGGAGUGAAGAAGGGUUUCGGAUCGUAAAGCUAUGUUGUUAAGGAAGCGGUACUUAACCAGAAAGGGACGGCUAACUACGUGCCAACAGCCGCGGUAAUAC
rnacentral:rRNA from 1 species